rnacentral:lncRNA from 1 species
GCCAAGAUCAUUCACUGGGACAUAAAGGCUGCAAACAUAUUGCUCGAUGGUUACUGUGAGGCUGUCAUAGGAUAUUUUGGAUCGAUAAGGCUUUUGGAUCAUCAUGAUUCACAUAUCACGAUGGCCAUUGGGGGCAUUUUAGGACAUGUAGCCCUCAAGUAUCUCUCUACAGGCCAAUCCUCGGAAAAAACAGAUUUUUUCGGGUUUGGAAUACUCCUGUUAGAAUUGAUCACCAGUCAAAGGGCUUCAGAAUUCGGGAAAGCAGAAAAUCAGAAGGACCUAUUCUUGAUUGGGUAAGUACCAAUAGAAAACAAAG